rnacentral:rRNA from 1 species
UACGGGGGGAGCAAGCGUUGUUCGGAUUUACUGGGCGUAAAGGGCGCGUAGGCGGCCACUGCAAGUCAGUUGUGAAAUCUCCGGGCUUAACCCGGAAAGGUCAACUGAUACUGCAGGGCUAGAGUGCAGAAGGGGCAAUUGGAAUUCUCGGUGUAGCGGUGAAAUGCGUAGAUAUCGAGAGGAACACCUGCGGCGAAGGCGGGUUGCUGGGCUGACACUGACGCUGAUGUGCGAAAGCUAGGGGAGCGAACGGG